CAGACCGCCAAUGAUAACAGAAGAAGAAGGCUACGGAGAUCUGCUAACACUUUACUAGCUUCAGAAAGACAAACUGCUCAUCAUUUUCAUUUAUAGUUAAAGCUAUUACGUCUAUAUAAAGGUGACAUUGAACCAGGUUAAAGGAGUCGAUCAUUUUGCUGUACAUCAGGAUUCACCAGUGCUGCUGAUGGUCCAUGAUUGGCUUCCACCUCCCUCUGAAGGUGCCCAUGGU
rnacentral:lncRNA from 1 species